GGAGAGUUUGAUCCUGGCUCAGGACGAACGCUGGCGGCGUGCUUCAUGCAUGCAAGUCGAGGGAGAACUAUUCGCUUCGUAAGAAGCAGAUAGGGAAACCGGCGAACGGGUGCGUAACACGUGAGAAACCUGCCCUGAAGAUCGGGAUAGCCCGGGGAAACCCGGAUUAAUACCGAAUACCUUCUUUGGAUCGCAUGAUCCGUAGAAGAAAUGCUCUGGUGCUUCAGGAUGGUCUCGCGGCCUAUCAGCUUGUUGGUGAGGUAACGGCUCACCAAGGCUCCGACGGGUAGCUGGUCUGAGAGGACGAUCAGCCACACUGGGACUGAGACACGGCCCAGACUCCUACGGGAGGCAGCAGCAGGGAAUAUUGCACAAUGGGCGAAAGCCUGAUGCAGCAACGCCGCGUGCGGGAUGAAGGCCUUCGGGUUGUAAACCGCUUUCAGUAGGGAAGAAAAUGACGGUACCUACAGUAGAAGCCCCGGCCAACUACGUGCCAGCAGCCGCGGUAACACGUGGGGGGCAAGCGUUGUCCGGAUUUAUUGGGCGUAAAGGGCUCGUAGGCGGCUUGACAAGUCGGACGUGAAAGCCCGGGGCUUAACCCCGGGAGGCCGUUCGAAACUGUCAUGGCUAGUUUCCGGUAGAGGUGAGUGGAAUUCUAGGUGUAGCGGUGAAAUGCGCAGAUAUCUAGAGGAACACCAGUAGCGAAGGCGGCUCACUGGGCCGGUAAAGACGCUGAGGAGCGAAAGCGUGGGGAGCAAACAGGAUUAGAUACCCUGGUAGUCCACGCCGUAAACGUUGAACACUAGGUGUGGUGGACAGAUCCAUGUCUGCCG
rnacentral:rRNA from 1 species